YGUAAUGUAGUUUAUGUAAAA
rnacentral:tRNA from 1 species